rnacentral:misc_RNA from 1 species
GAGUUAACUAACAAUAUAUAGAAACAUGAAGAGUCUUUGCCAGAUGUUCAUUCUUUAACAGGCAUAAAGUAAAUACUUCAUCUAUACAAUCUUUGACGUAUAAAUCGCGAGUGUUGAAAGCUAACGAAACUGGUGACAGGAGAAAUGGAAGUUUCUUCAGAUAUCAAGGAUAAAAUUUCUACAGACAGUUCAUGCUUCUGUAAUUGACUCGGUGCUGACUACGGGUACUUUCUCAUACGUGGAGCUAUCUCUAUAUCUUCUGGGAAGAAAACAACGGCCCCCAAAUCUCUGCUGCAAGAAAACAAGAACAGCAAGCAGCAGACCCCCACAACAGAUAAUGAUGUCCCAAGCAGUGGAAUAGUAAUCCAUUUUCGGGUUCCCAUAUAUGUAAUCAUACGACCAAGCAUUGCUGUUAGUUCUGUAAAGAUCAUAUACAUGUGGCAUUAGGCGCACAAGGGUAGUUCCUAUAUAGAAACCAGGGGUGAGAGCCCUCUCAGUGGUGUUGCAGAAUAAAUUGAACAGAAUCUGAGGAAGCAAAAAUCCAUCCAAGACCAAGCCGGCAUAUGAUUUAAGCUCAACCCAGAAAGUUUGUUGUUGGUAAUGAAAACGAGGCGACAAUCGAAGCUUCAGCUGGUGAGGCAUUCUUGACAGAUGGAUAAAAUAAGCAAUCAAUCCACCAAAAAUAUACAUUGGCAAAGACAAAUACAGAACCUUUUUAUCUGAUAUCCAGUAAUUUUUGGGGCUCUCAACACCUGCUCUUGCAGACCAUGUGAGUUGAAGAAGACGGAAUUCCAACAAGAAUGCUAUCAUCGUCAUGAUUCUAAUUAAAAUCUCAUUUACUUCAAGCCAUUCGUCACUACCAAAGUAAACAUUCUGCUUCUCCCGGUUGACCAAGAACAGCGCUUCGAAGUUCAGUAACAGAGGGAUCAUGUGUGCAAGUGUGAGUACAACUAGCAUGACUACAGAGAUAAAUGGAAGCACAGUUGGGUUUUUUCUCACAUAAAAUAGCUGCAGACCCACAAAGAUGCAUGCAAGUGUAUUGGAAAUUAGAACCAUUGUCAUUUCCAGAUCCAUUCUCCACAUGGAAUUUUUGGCUUGGUCAAAGUAGACGGAAUUUGAUAUAAGCUCCAAGGGUUCAAAGUAAAGAGGAUCAGACUUUUUCCUCAGGCUCUCAAUGGUACCUCUAACACCACGGGCAACUUUAGCAUUCAAAGGAGGAUACUGAAUAUUAACUAGAAUUUCACAGUCUAACGAAGAAUUUCUCUGUAAAAU